rnacentral:rRNA from 1 species
UAAGUCAGCCACGAAUAGGCUAUCCCAACUAACGGCGGGAAAGACUCCCCGGAGGGUGUAAGACCCGUGUGGGCGCGUGUUAAAGCUGUGUGGGCUCGGCCUCUCUUCCCUGAGAGUCGCGUUGCUUGAGCAUGCAGCGCUAAUCAGGUCGUAAACUCGAUCUAAGGCUAAAUAUCUCCACAGAACCGAUAGCGAACAAGUACCGUGAGGGAAAGUUGAAAAGCACUCUGGAGAGAGAGUCAAAAGACCGUGAAACCGCUCAGAGUAUAAGCCCAUGGCAGCUUGGAAGGCAUAUCGCUAGCGGGGCAUCGGUCUCCCUUCACGGGGAGCUGGUGUUACCUUGCUUCUGUUGUGGCUCGUCAAGGUAGGGGGGUCAAGUCCACAUCCCGCCGUCGUGUGGGGAGUUCCUGGGCGUGUCGUUGCUUUGCGGUUGACUUCGGUUGGCCGUAGGGCUCUUCGCGCUUGGGGCUUCUUUAGACACGGACGUUCAUACUCAGUUGCAAGACGCGAUAACCAGCCCACCACGGCACGUUGUGAGGUCACCCACAGGCUCAGCUUUCGAUUGUUGUCCUUGACGCCGAGCAAGCACAAUGCGUGUCGCAGAUGUUCCUAACCUGGCAAUGCUUGUCGGACAGUGGAACGACACGCGCUCAACAGUCAGGACCGGGCGAUGACAGAGUUCUGGUCUGAUCCUCUUGUGACGAGCCGGCUUCUGGCCGAUUUCCGAUGCUCAGGUCUCCCGCAUGUGCCGCGGGAGAUCGCCUUGACGGUCUGGA